rnacentral:lncRNA from 1 species
AAAGUCUUAGUCUCUCACUCCUGAUCCCUGGGGUCACCUGUUCACAGCUGAAACAGUGAGCUGAGGUGGUGGAGCAGCAGGUCCACCUGCUGAUAAGGUUGGCAGCCGCCGAGUGAUCCAGUAUGGUGCAGCUCUCAUGCUGGGCUUGGGCAUGAUUGGCAAGUUCAGCGCCCUCUUCGCCUCCCUCCCAGACCCUGUACUCGGAGCCCUCUUCUGCACACUCUUUGGAAUGAUCACAGCUGUUGGCCUCUCUAACCUGCAGUUCAUUGACUUGAAUUCUUCCCGGAACCUAUUUGUGCUUGGAUUUUCCAUCUUCUUUGGGCUUGUUCUUCCAAGUUACCUCAGACAAAACCCUCUGGUUACAGGCAUAACAGGCAUUGAUCAAGUUCUGAAUGUCCUUCUCACCACUGCUAUGUUCGUCGGAGG